AUUGAACGCUGGCGGCAUGCUUUACACAUGCAAGUCGGACGGCAGCACAGAGAAGCUUGCUUCUUGGGUGGCGAGUGGCGAACGGGUGAGUAAUAUAUCGGAACGUACCGAGUAAUGGGGGAUAACUAAUCGAAAGAUUAGCUAAUACCGCAUAUUCUCUGAGGAGGAAAGCAGGGGACCUUCGGGCCUUGCGUUAUUCGAGCGGCCGAUAUCUGAUUAGCUAGUUGGUGGGGUAAAGGCCUACCAAGGCGACGAUCAGUAGCGGGUCUGAGAGGAUGAUCCGCCACACUGGGACUGAGACACGGCCCAGACUCCUACGGGAGGCAGCGGUGGGGAAUUUUGGACAAUGGGCGCAAGCCUGAUCCAGCCAUGCCGCGUGUCUGAAGAAGGCCUUCGGGUUGUAAAGGACUUUUGUCAGGGAAGAAAAGGCUGUUGCUAAUAUCAAUAGCUGAUGACGGUACCUGAAGAAUAAGCACCGGCUAACUACGU
rnacentral:rRNA from 1 species